CAAGUGCCAUGAAGCAUUUUGGUGUUUCCUUUUCGUGUUCCUGUGUUGCCUACCUUCGAAAUGGUAUUUGAAUGGUUUGGAAUAUUUUUUCCAUCCAGGUCUCUUUUGUGGGAUGAUGGUGGAUUUUGAUGCAACGCAUGUGUUCCUCAUUAGUUUUGCAUUAUGCAUCUUUUGUGGUACAUAUGUAGUUGUUGUCCUUUCGGAUACGGUGAAUGCAAUGAACAUGGGUUUAAAAUUCCCGUUCAGUUCCUAAAUUUUCGGUUGCCUUGGAAUGACAUCCUGCCUUGGUGCUUGUUUUGUUUUCCUCUCAGGGUCACAAGACUUGCAACUUGAGCAUGGUCAUUGAUGGGUGCUA
rnacentral:misc_RNA from 1 species